UACCUGGAAUAAGCCAGCUAAAAUGAUACAGCCAGCGUAUUCUGAAUAUGCAUCUUUCCUUUUUUUCCUGGACCUUCUUCAAUUUUUCAGGACCUUUCAUUGCCUCAUUAUAAGUUACCAACAAAUGGAACGCAAUUACAGUCGUCCAGAAGAAAGACCACAAAGAUCCCAACGUAGUUACAAAACUUUGAAUUAUGCAUCCUACGUUGCGUUCCGAAUAACAUUCCAA
rnacentral:lncRNA from 1 species